AGCGGCGAACUGGUGAGUACAAGGUGACUAACGUGCCCCUGAGCGGGGGAUAACCCACCGAAAGGCGGGCUAAUACCGCAUGAUCUCCGGGUUGCCUCGGCAGCUUGGAGCAAAGCAGCAAUGUGCUUGGGGAUCGGGUCACCUCCCAUUAGCUAGUUGGUGGGGUAAGAGCCCACCAAGGCUUCGAUGGGUAGCUGGUCUGAGAGGAUGGUCAGCCACACUGGGACUGAGAUACGGCCCAGACUCCUACGGGGGGCAGCAGUCUAGAGGCUUCGUCAAUGGGGGAAACCCUGAACGAGCGACGCCGCGUGCGGGAUGAAGGGCUUCGGCUUGUAAACCGCUUUUGUUUGGGAAGAAUGCCCGGAUCGUGAAUUCGGGAGGGACGGUACCAGACGAAUAAGCCCCGGCUAACUCCGUGCCAGCAGCCGCGGUAAGACGGAGGGGGCAAGCGUUGUUCGGAAUUAUUGGGCGUAAAGGGCGCGUAGGCGGAUUGGCAAGUCUGGCGUGAAAUCUCCACCACUUAACGGGGAGAGGUCGCUGGAAACUACCGAUCUGGAGUUCGGCAGAGGACCAUGGAAUUCCAGGUGUAGCGGUGGAAUGCGUAGAUAUCUGGAAGAACACCGGUGGCGAAGGCGGUGGUCUGGGCCGAAACUGACGCUGAGGCGCGAAAGCCAGGGGAGCAAACGGGAUUAGAUACCCC
rnacentral:rRNA from 1 species